rnacentral:rRNA from 1 species
UACGUAGGGGGCAAGCGUUGUCCGGAUUUAUUGGGCGUAAAGAGCGUGUAGGCGGUUUGGUAGGUCCGUUGUGAAAACUCGAGGCUCAACCUCGAGACGCCGAUGGAAACCAUCAGACUAGAGUCCGGAAGAGGAGAGUGGAAUUCCUGGUGUAGCGGUGGAAUGCGUAGAGAUCCGGAGGAAGACCGGUGGCGAAGGCGGCCUGCUGGGCAGUUACUGACACUGAGGCGCGACAGCGUGGGGAGCAAACAGG